rnacentral:rRNA from 1 species
UACGGAGGGGGCGAGCGUUGUUCGGAUUUACUGGGCGUAAAGCGUGUGUAGGUGGUUUCUCAAGUAAGAAGUGAAAGCCCAGGGCUUAACCCUGGAACUGCUUUUUAAACUGGGUCACUAGAGUGUAGGAGAGGCAAAUGGAAUUCCGAGUGUAGAGGUGAAAUUCGUAGAUAUUCGGAGGAACACCAAUGGCGAAAGCAAUUUGCUGGACUAAUACUGACACUGAGACACGAAAGCGUGGGUAGCAAACAGG